rnacentral:ncRNA from 3 species
GCGACCCCAGGUCAGGCGGGAUUAC